rnacentral:rRNA from 1 species
GAGACCCGUGCCCACUGUUACCAGCAUGUCCUCCGGGAUGAUGGGUACUCUGUGGGGACCGCCGGUGUUAAAUCGGAGGAAGGUGCGGGCCACGGUAGGUCAGUAUGCCCCGAAUUUCCCGGGCUACACGCGGGCUACAAUGAAUGGGACAAUGGGUCCCUACCCUGAAAAGGGCUGGUAAUCUCACAAACCCAUCCGUAGUUCGGAUCGAGGGCUGUAACUCGCCCUCGUGAAGCUGGAAUCCGUAGUAAUCGCGUUUCAAUAUAGCGCGGUGAAUAC